GACGAACGCUGGCGGCGUGCUUAACACAUGCAAGUCGAACGGAAAGGCCCUGCUUUUGUGGGGUGCUCGAGUGGCGAACGGGUGAGUAACACGUGAGUAACCUGCCCUUGACUUUGGGACAACCUCAGGAAACUGGGGCUAAUACCGGAUAGGAGCUCCUGCUGCAUGGUGGGGGUUGGAAAGUUUCGGCGGUUGGGGAUGGACUCGCGGCUUAUCAGCUUGUUGGUGGGGUAGUGGCUUACCAAGGCGUUGACGGGUAGCCGGCCUGAGAGGGUGACCGGCCACAUUGGGACUGAGAUACGGCCCAGACUCCUACGGGAGGCAGCAGUGGGGAAUAUUGCACAAUGGGCGGAAGCCUGAUGCAGCAACGCCGCGUGCGGGAUGACGGCCUUCGGGUUGUAAACCGCUUUCGCCGGUGACGAAGCGUGAGUGACGGUAAUGGGUAAAGAAGCACCGGCUAACUACGUG
rnacentral:rRNA from 1 species